GGGGAAUAUUGCACAAUGGGCGAAAGCCUGAUGCAGCAACGCCGCGUGAGCGAUGAAGGCCUUCGGGUCGUAAAGCUCUGUCCUCAAAGAAGAUAAUGACGGUACUUGAGGAGGAAGCCCCGGCUAACUACGUGCCAGCAGCCGCGGUAAUACGUAGGGGGCUAGCGUUAUCCGGAAUUACUGGGCGUAAAGGGUGCGUAGGUGGUUUCUUAAGUCAGAGGUGAAAGGCUACGGCUCAACCGUAGUAAGCCUUUGAAACUGGGAAACUUGAGUGCAGGAGAGGAGAGUGGAAUUCCUAGUGUAGCGGUGAAAUGCGUAGAUAUUAGGAGGAACACCAGUUGCGAAGGCGGCUCUCUGGACUGUAACUGACACUGAGGCACGAAAGCGUGGGGAGCAAACAGGAUUAGAUACCCUGGUAGUCCACGCCGUAAACGAUGAGUACUAGCUGUCGGAGGUU
rnacentral:rRNA from 1 species